rnacentral:tRNA from 1 species
AAGUUGUUCUUUAAGACUAGAUAUAAUUAAUUACGCUUUAUUUACACUAAAGAUAUAUUUUAGGAUUGUUUUA